rnacentral:rRNA from 1 species
UUCCUACGGGAGGCAGCAGUGGGGAAUUCUUUGGGCGCAAGCCUGACGGACAAGCCGGGAAUUAGGCCUUCGGGUUGUAAACUGCUUUUGUUUUCGAAGAUUAUGACAGUAGAUUACGAAUAAGGACCUGCUAACUACGUGCCAGCAGCCGCGGUCAUACGUAGGGUCCAAGCGUUAUCCGGAUUGACUGGGCGUAAGAGAUGCGUAGGCGGUUAUUUAAGCAGAUAGUGAAAUCGGGUGGCUCAACCAUUCCGCUGCUAUCUGAACUGGGUAACUUGAGUAUGGAAGGGGUCGCUGGAAUUACUAGUGUAGGAGUGAAAUCCGUAGAUAUUAGUAGGAACACCGAUGGCGAAGGCAGGCGACUGGUCCAUUACUGACGCUAAGGCUCGAAAGCGUGGGGAGCGAACCGGAUUAGAUACCCGGGUAGUCCACGCCGUAAACGAUGGAUGCUAGCUAUUGGGGGGAAUCGACCCCCUCCGAAGCGAAGCUAACGCGUUAAGCAUCCCGCCUGAGUAGUACGAGCGCAAGCUUAAAACUCAAAGGAAUUGACGGGCCCACGCGGUGGAGCGUGUGGUUUAAUUCAUGGAAAAAACCUUACCAAGGUUUGACAUCCCGGUAGCCGUUCUCCGAAAGGAGAAUUUCAUUUAGUUGGACCGGUGACAGGUGAUGCAUGGCCGUCGUCAGCUCGUGUCGUGAGAUGUUGGGUUAAGUCCCGCAACGAGCGCAACCCUUAUGAUUUAGUUGGAUUUUUCUAAACAGACUGCCCUGGUAACAGGGAGGAAGGAGGGGAUGAUGUCAGGUCAGUAUUUCCCUUACACCUUGGGCGACACACGCGCUACAAUGGCCGGUACAAUGGGCAGCUAAGCCGCGAGGUGGAGCAAAUCCCAUCAAAGCCGGUCCCAGUUCGGAUUGCAGGAAACCCCCUAAGCCGGAAUCGUAGUAACCCGAGUCAGCAUUCGGGGAAUCGUUCCCGGGCCUUGU